UGAGCAAUCUGCCCUUCCCAUCGGAAUAAGCGUUGGAAACGACGUCUAAUGCCGAAUACGACCACCUUUCGCAUGAUCGGAGGUGGAAAGCUCCGGCGGAGAAGGAUGAGCUCGCGGCCUAUCAGCUAGUUGGUGUGGGUAAUGGCCCACCAAGGCGACGACGGGUAGCCGGCCUGAGAGGGGUGACCGGCCAUACUAGGACUGAGACACGGCCCAGACUCCCGUACCGGGAGGG
rnacentral:rRNA from 1 species